CGGAGUAAUGAGCAGGAAUGGGGUACGGAUGUUCAGAAUUCCUAUCAUCAAAACUAGGAUGUUAUUAUUGGGUUUAAUUGA